GUCCUGUGAUGAAACCAAGGCGAAUGCGAGCUAACUGGUUAUAAGUUUGGCUGCUCCCAUCUCCUGACUGGCAGGUAAUCUUGGCAGAGCAGUGGAGACUGGCUGCUCUGCUGUAAGGGCCUGCCUACAGUGAAUGACACCUGGCUCAUAUACCUCCUCUUUAAAGAGGUUGAGUUGGAGGUUGGAGAAGGGUGUUCAGUUUGUGUGUGUGUGUGCGUGCGCGUGCGCGUGCCAGGAAACGGGGCGCCUUACUUUAUCCAUGCCUGUUAGCUGUGAGCGGCUUCUUUGGUAAUCUGAGGGCA
ensembl:snoRNA small nucleolar RNA U85